UGUCUAGGAGACUGAGGUAUAAUUAGCAAAUGUUUCAAUGCCAUAUAGCUAUAAUAAAAGUUGUUCGACAGAAAAAAACAGUAAAGCAUAGUAUCAUUGAGACAAGUAAACUUAUGACUUCAGAUGGAAUUCAUAAUCAGUUUCAACAUGUUCUCUGCGUUGA